rnacentral:rRNA from 1 species
GAUGAACGCUGGCGGCGUGCCUAAUACAUGCAAGUCGAGCGAAUGGAUUAAGAGCUUGCUCUUAUGAAGUUAGCGGCGGACGGGUGAGUAACACGUGGGUAACCUGCCCAUAAGACUGGGAUAACUCCGGGAAACCGGGGCUAAUACCGGAUAACAUUUUGAACCGCACGGUUCGAAAUUGAAAGGCGGCUUCGGCUGUCACUUAUGGAUGGAAACGGGUUGCAUUAGCUAGUUGGUGAGGUAACGGCUCACCAAGGCAACGAUGCGUAGCCGACCUGAGAGGGUGAUCGGCCACACUGGGACUGAGACACGGCCCAGACUCCUACGGGAGGCAGCAGUAGGGAAUCUUCCGCAAUGGACGAAAGUCUGACGGAGCAACGCCGCGUGAGUGAUGAAGGCUUUCGGGUCGUAAAACUCUGUUGUUAGGGAAGAACAAGUGCUAGUUGAAUAAGCUGACACCUUGACGGUACCUAACCAGAAAGCCACGGCUAACUACGUGCCAGCAGCCGCCGUAA